rnacentral:rRNA from 1 species
GACGUAGGGCGCGAGCGUUGUCCGGAUUUAUUGGGCGUAAAGAGCUCGUAGGCGGCUUGUCGCGUCAACUGUGAAAUCUCAGGGCUCAACUCUGACAUUGCAGUCGAUACGGGCAGGCUAGAGUUCGGAAGAGGCGAGUGGAAUUCCCGGUGUAGCGGUGAAAUGCGCAGAUAUCGGGAGGAACACCUAUGGCGAAGGCAGCUCGCUGGGACGUUACUGACGCUGAGACGCGAAAGCGUGUGGAGCAAACAGG